rnacentral:rRNA from 1 species
AUUGAACGCUGGCGGCAGGCCUAACACAUACAAGUCGAGCGGAUGAAGGGAGCUUGCUCCUGGAUUCAGCGGCGGACGGGUGAGUAAUGCCUAGGAAUCUGCCUGGUAGUGGGGGAUAACGUCCGGAAACGGGCGCUAAUACCGCAUACGUCCUGAGGGAGAAAGUGGGGGAUCUUCGGACCUCACGCUAUCAGAUGAGCCUAGGUCGGAUUAGCUAGUUGGUGGGGUAAAGGCCUACCAAGGCGACGAUCCGUAACUGGUCUGAGAGGAUGAUCAGUCACACUGGAACUGAGACACGGUCCAGACUCCUACGGGAGGCAGCGGUGGGGAAUAUUGGACAAUGGGCGAAAGCCUGAUCCAGCCAUGCCGCGUGUGUGAAGAAGGUCCUCGGAUUGUAAAGCACUUUAAGUUGGGAGGAAGGGCAGUAAGUUAAUACCUUGCUGUUUUGACGUUACCAACAGAAUAAGCACCGGCUAACUUCGUG